AGCGAACGCUGGCGGCAGGCCUAACACAUGCAAGUCGAACGAAGUCUUCGGACUUAGUGGCGGACGGGUGAGUAACACGUGGGAACGUGCCUUUAGGUUCGGAAUAACUCAGGGAAACUUGUGCUAAUACCGAAUGUGCCCUUCGGGGGAAAGAUUUAUCGCCUUUAGAGCGGCCCGCGUCUGAUUAGCUAGUUGGUGAGGUAACGGCCCACCAAGGCGACGAUCAGUAGCUGGACUGAGUGGAUGAUCAGCCACAUUGGGACUGAGACACGGCCCAAAUUCCUACGGGAGGCAGCAGUGGGGAAUCUUGCACAAUGGGCGAAAGCCUGACGCAGCCAUGCCGCGUGAAUGAUGAAGGUCUUAGGAUUGUAAAAUUCUUUCACCGGGGACGAUAAUGACGGUACCCGGAGAAGAAGCCCCGGCUAACUUCGUGCCAGCCGCCGCCGUAAGAC
rnacentral:rRNA from 1 species